GCGGUGGAGAGGGAGCUGAACUGAUGAUGGCAUUGAGAUCCCAAGAGGCUGAGUAACAUGUGAUGUCUCACAGCUGGUACCCAGCAGACAGGAGUCCAGGACCUGAGCCAUAGAAACAGCCUAUAAACUGAGGGUCAGAGGGCAAAGUCCAGACACUCAGAAGACCCUCUAUAUGGGGACACCAUCUAUCAUGAUCCAAGAAGCCAGGUAAAUGGAUUUUCCUCCCCUUCCCUCUUUUCCU
rnacentral:lncRNA from 1 species